rnacentral:lncRNA from 1 species
AAUCAAUUACUUUGUUCUCCAUCUCCUAUAAUGGGGAUACAAUGGGUCGGACUUUGUGAAUGAAGCUAGAAAUCACUAAACGUUGAAAUAACAGCACUAUCAGCAGUAAAAAAUAUUUAAUAAAUAUUCACAAAAACGUUUUCGAUAUUGGAAGUUCCAUCGCCAGUUGCGAACUACAUUAGUUAGAACAAGGAAGUGUUCUUACAAAACUGAACAGAAGAACGUGCAAGUUCAAAUUUUUAAAUUUGGAACAUUAUAAAUAUUUAUAAUUUAUAAGUAUUACAAGAAUUUACAAGUAGGAUAAUAUGGGAAACUAACGAUAUAAGUUUUUAAAUUAAUUCUAAUUUACAAAUCAGCGUUAUAAACACUAGGUUACAAAUAUUUUGGAGACCGGCUAUAAUGUAAAAUAAAACAUCUUAUGGUAAACUCGUCUUGGCACAGAAGUUGGGAAGUAUGUCAUUAUAAUAAUUUGGGAUUUAUGUCAUAUUUCUUCGGGCUGUGUAUUUCCAAGCUGUGCUCGGGGUGUCUGCCUGUCUAAUGUUGAUAACGUUGUAGUUUUGGCUACUUCUUAAUAUCUCCAAUUUUUCCGUUAUUGGUAGAGCUUUAUGGUCGUUAACAUGUUUCACAACUUGGGCGUUUUGCAGGAAACCUCUGUUCUUUCAAAGGCUCUUAGAGCUAGAGUAGUAUUAAGAUUAUCUUUUGAAACAUUGUCUUUAUGCUCUUUUAACCGGUCUUUAAAAUUUCGAGCCGCUGCCCCUACAUACACUUCUGGCCUAUUAUCAUCAAUGUUAUGUAUCGGGAUCUUGUAGACUCCAGAGCUAAAGUCUUUAUGCCUUCUCGUUUUGUCAUUUCCGAGUAUACUAAAAAUAGUGGGGGCUCUCUUAAACGUUCGUCCUUUACCUAUUGAUCUAAGGGCUGACGUAACAGUAUUGUUCCUAUGCAGCCUGUAGGGUAGGGGAACACGGUGUGGUGGGUCCGGCUAGGUCCAUUACGGGAGGAGAGGCCAAGUUGGUUUGUUGGUGUCAGGAUAUGAUGCUCUGCUUCAAUUUUUUAAAAAUGAUUUUUCAUUAAUUUAUAACUGUAGCCAUGCCUUCUUCCAAUUAUAAAGAUUCUUUCUGACUUGAAGAGAGAUACGUCACUACAGUGGGUGAGGCACCAGCGGAAGUUUGAUGUAAAAGCGGAUUUUUUAUACGCCCAUGGGUCAAAGGACCACUUAGGUAUAAUAGUUGGAGUGGUAGCGGGCUUAGUAUAGACUGUGGUGCUAAAGGUGCCGUUUAAAAGGUAUAUUUUAAGAUCUAGGAAGUUGACUUCUGUACAGCUAACUUGUGCUAGCUUUAAAUUAAGUCCAUACACUUUCUUAGAAAAUUGCUUUAUUAAAUUAUCAGUUUGAUGGUUAUUUCGCCAGAGAAUGAAGAUAUCAACGUAUCUUGAGUAUAAAAGAAACUCUUUGGAGAUGUAUGUAGUUGCGCUUCUACUUCUCUAACGACUAAUUCGGCUAGGAAUUCUUUUGUUGGGUAUAAAGAUUUGUCAUGUUGACCAAGUGCUCAAUGUAAUCUUGACCCAACAGCAGCACGAAGAGAUCCAAGGAGGACAUCUGG